GACUUCUGACCUAAGUAGCUGGGCAGGCUGAUACGAACAGACAAAGCGAGCUAUUUUGGAGGCUAGUAAACUUUCAUUUUAGACUAAACUUUGGUUCAGGUGAGGGAAACUAAGGGACGGGGGCUGGCGGUGACAAACAGGCGUUGGCUAUCCAAGCAGGGGCCUAGUAUAUCCUGUUGCUUCCGUAGUUUGCUGACCUAAGCUGAUUUUAGGCACUUUGUCUUGGAAAUGGACACUUUAUGCAUUGUUUCCUUCGGGGUACCUCUGACACAGGAAGGAGAGCUUCCUCUUGGUUGGCGUAUUCCUGUUACAACCUCUCCAGACAGCCCUCGCUGUUCGGCAGGCCCUGUUGGGGCUGCAGGAUCCUGGCCCUCUCCACCCGCUCUGGCCUCGCUGGCCAGGACUGGACUGCCCCUUGCAAGGGCACCUGCACCUCCUGGAGUUUCCUCUCUGAGAUGUGCAUCUCCUUGCACAUCUCACCCCUCACUGACACCCUCCACCCCACUCCUGGGAUGCUGCCUCCUGCUGUAGAUGGUUCUGUCUGGGGCUGCUAGGAGGGUCGGGAAAUUCUCAGAGGGUCUCCAUUUCUGCGUUCAUUUUGUUAGGUCCUCAGCCACUUGUAACGGGGACAUAACACAGGGUCAUGUCUGUAUUAAUGCCAAUGACGUUGAAGCCUCUCUCUCUCUGGACUAUAGAACUAUCCCUAAGAGGCCAGGUGUGGUGGCUCACACCUUAUAAUCCCAACGUUUUGGGAGGACAAGGCAGGAGGAUCACUUGAGGCCCGGAGUUCAAGACCGGCCUGAACAACAUAGCGAGACCCUAUCUCUACCAUAAAAAAGGUAAGAAAUGGCCCUAAGGCAAUCCUAUAUUGUCAGAGGGGGCCGUGCUGGGAGAAGCAGCCCAUGCUUCUCAGCCGGGCUGUCUGGGAGAUGCUGCGUCUGCCUGACCAUUUCCAUACCUUGGUUACUUUCAGCAAUGCUUUGCUCAAAGUUUGUGGAUAUUGGAAGGGCAUUGCUGUAUUUUUUGGUUUCUAAGAGUCACAUUAUUGAUAGAUCUGAAAUCCAGAUGCCUCUCACCCUCGGAACAUCAUUUACUGUGUCAUGUUUCGUGUAUUUCCCGAAAAGCGGUAUCAGUUUUGCGGCCUGUUAGAACUGAAGCAAUAAGGGAUCACCCAGAGGAGAGCUUCGGGCUGCUCCAGAUGUGGCUGUUCUUGGCUCCCACAGACCCAGAACAUCCUCGCCAGCCUGUGCUCCCUAUGGGGCACCCCCUCCAGUGGAAGUGAGGGCAGCCACGCACCCCUGGGAAUGCCUUAGAGAGGGGCCAAUUGCCAUCGCCAGGGGCCUGACUCUGCAACCAUCCACACCUACGGGGAGUCCAUUUGAGAGAUGAGGAAGCUGAAGCUCCAGGCCCCUGGCUCGUGCUGGUCACCCAACCACCCGGAACCUGGUCGCCAACCCGCUGUCAGUUGCUCGGCAGUGGACUCCUCUCCUGGCUCAGGGCGCGGUUCCGGCAGGCGUCCACCAGGUGGCAGCACCGGCACAUUCUGCAGGCUGUUCCGGCUCAGAGCUCGAUGUAGUGCUCUGGGGUAACCUGGGCCCCAGCCUGUCCCCUCCCGCCCCCUGCAGCCCCUCCUCCCACCGCCUGCAGCCCCUCCUCCCGCUCUGUCCAGCUUCGAACAGGCCACUCAGGCCUCCCAGCCUUACUUCCACCGUGGCCCAGGCCAUGACCUUGGCCCCAACUCUGGGCCCUGCCCUAUCUGUCCUUCCUGGUGGUCUGUCUCAUUCACUGCCCUACCCAGGGGAACAGCACCUGGGGCUGGGGGGCAGAUGGCCACGUGGUCCAAUGGUCUCCUUCAUGGCUGGGGUGAAGCUGGGUGGGGUCAAGGGAAGAAGAGGUGGAUCCCAACGGGGGCAGGGCCAGCCAGGGCCUCCCAUCUCCCCUCAGGCCAGGCCUCUGGAGAUGGGGGUGGAACACCUUCCAUGGGAGGCUGCCCCUGGGAACAGGCCUGUAUACUCCCGCCUCGGCCCACCACACAGCCUGUCCCCAAACCUGUUGGGGUGGCGGUGCCCACCAGGAGGAGCUGGGGAGGACCAGCUGCUCUGAGGAUGCUGCUUCCCUCCCAGGACUCCCCACUCCCUCCCUGGCCACCCACUCUUCCACCCAGCAAAGUGAGCCAAAAAUUUGAAAAGCA
rnacentral:lncRNA from 1 species